UACGUAGGUGGCAAGCGUUACUCGGAAUCACUAGGCGUAAAGCGCAGGUAGGCGGUUCGGUAAGUCUUUUGUGAAAGCUCCCGGCUCAACUGGGAGAGGUCAAAGGAAACUACCGGGCUAGAGUGUGGUAGGGGAAACUGGAAUUCCUGGUGUAGCGGUGAAAUGCGUAGAGAUCCGGAAGAACACCGGUGGCGAAGGCGGCCUGCUGGGCAGUUGCUGACACUGAGGCGCGACAGCGUGGGGAGCAAACAGG
rnacentral:rRNA from 1 species